GGCUUCGUAUUUCAGUUGGUUAGAAAGCCAUCUUAACAUGUCUCGAAAGAGAGUGUUGAAACAAUUCGGUGGAGGUCCCCGGUUCGAGUCCGGGCGAAGUCA